rnacentral:rRNA from 1 species
AGAGUUUGAUCAUGGCUCAGGAUGAACGCUAGCGGCAGGCCUAACACAUGCAAGUCGAGGGGUAACAUAGGAAAGCUUGCUUUUCUGAUGACGACCGGCGCACGGGUGCGUAACGCGUAUACAACCUACCUUUUAGCGGGGAAUAGCCCAGGGAAACUUGGAUUAAUGCCCCAUAGUAUAUAGACUUCUCCUGAAGUUUAUAUUAAACAUUUAUGGCUAUUAGAUGGGUAUGCGUCCUAUUAGUUAGUUGGUAAGGUAACGGCUUACCAAGGCAGCGAUAGGUAGGGGUCCUGAGAGGGAGAUCCCCCACACUGGUACUGAGACACGGACCAGACUCCUACGGGAGGCAGCAGUGAGGAAUAUUGGACAAUGGGCGAGAGCCUGAUCCAGCCAUGCCGCGUGCAGGAAGACUGCCCUAUGGGUUGUAAACUGCUUUUAC